rnacentral:rRNA from 1 species
UGGGGAAUAUUGCACAAUGGGGGAAACCCUGAUGCAGCGACGCCGCGUGAGCGAUGAAGGCUUUCGAGUCGUAAAGCUCUGUCCUAUGGGAAGAUAAUGACGGUACCAUAGAAGAAAGCCCCGGCUAAUUACGUGCCAGCAGCCGCGGUAAUACGUAAGGGGCGAGCGUUGUCCGGAAUUAUUGGGCGUAAAGAGUGCGUAGGCGGCAAAUUAAGUCAGAUGUGAAAACUAAGGGCUCAACCCAUAGAUUGCAUCUGAAACUGAUAUGCUUGAGUCAAGGAGAGGAAAGUGGAAUUCCUAGUGUAGCGGUGGAAUGCGUAGAUAUUAGGAGGAAUACCGGUGGCGAAGGCGACUUUCUGGACUUGAACUGACGCUGAGGCACGAAAGCGGGGGGAGCAAACAGG